AUGGUUGCUGAGUGGUCAGUUGGGCUUUUCGACUGCUUUGGGGAUUUCCGCACCUGUUGCUUGACUUUCUGGUGCCCCUGUGUUACCUUUGGUCGUCUUGCUGGGAUUGUGGACAAAGGCUCCCCAUCAUGCUGCAUGAAUGGGACCCUGUAUGUUUGCCUGGCUUGCGUAGGCUGCAACUGGUUGUAUUCUUGUACCAAACGCUCGGCGAUGCGGUCGCAAUACAACUUGAAAGCAUCGCCCUGCAUGGACUGCUGUGUCCACUUCUUCUGUGAGAGUUGCGCGCUAUGCCAAGAGUACAAGGAGCUGGAAAACCGUGGCUUCAACAUGGCCAAAGGAUGGGAAGGUAGCAACAAGAUGGUGGGAUGUGUGCAAGGCAUGAAAGCACCUGGGAAGCAAGGGAUGUGUUUCUAG
rnacentral:rRNA from 1 species